CAAGCUUUUAAGAGCAGAUGGCGGAUGCCUUGCCAAAGAGAGGCGAUGAAGGACGUACUAGACUGCGAUAAGCUAUGCGGAGCUGUCAAGGAGCUUUGAUGCGUAGAUGUCCGAAUGGGGCAACCCAACUAAUAGAGAUAUUAGUUACUCUAAUACAGAGAGCGAACCUAGUGAAGUGAAACAUCUCAGUAACUAGAGGAAAAGAAAUCAACGAGAUUCCCUAAGUAGUGGCGAGCGAACGGGGAAAAGGGCAAACCGAGUGCUUGCAUUCGGGGUUGAGGACUGCAACGUCCAAGAGAACGCUUUAGCAGAGUUACCUGGAAAGGUAAGCCAUAGAAAGUGAUAGCCUUGUAUGCGACAAGGCGUUCUUAGGUAGCAGUAUCCAGAGUAGGCCAGGACACGAGAAAUCCAGGUUGAAGCCGGGGAGACCACUCUCCAACCCUAAAUACUACUCUUUGAGCGAUAGCGAACAAGUACCGUGAGGGAAAGGUGAAAAGAACCGCAGUGAGCGGAGUGAAAUAGAACCUGAAACCAUCUGCUUACAAUCAUUCAGAGCCCUAUGAUUUAUCAGGGUGAUGGACUGCCUUUUGCAUAAUGAUCCUGCGAGUUGUGGUAUCUGGCAAGGUUAAGCGAAUGCGAAGCCGUAGCGAAAGCGAGUCUUAAUAGGGCGCUUGAGUCAGAUGCUGCAGACCCGAAGCUAAGUGAUCUAUCCAUGGCCAAGUUGAAACGCGUGUAAUAGCGCGUGGAGGACUGAACUCGUACCCAUUGAAACGGGUUGGGAUGAGCUGUGGAUAGGGGUGAAAGGCCAAACAAACUUAGUGAUAGCUGGUUCUCUUCGAAAUAUAUUUAGGUAUAGCCUCAAGUGAUAAUAAAAGGGGGUAGAGCGCUGAUUGGGCUAGGGCUGCUCGCCGCGGUACCAAACCCUAUCAAACUUCGAAUACCUUUUAUCGUAUCUUGGGAGUCAGGCGGUGGGUGAUAAAAUCAAUCGUCAAAAGGGGAACAACCCAGACUACCAAAUAAGGUCCCUAAGUUCUAUUCUGAGUGGAAAAAGAUGUGUGGCUACUCAAACAACCAGGAGGUUGGCUUAGAAGCAGCCAUCCUUUAAAGAAAGCGUAACAGCUCACUGGUCUAGUGGUCAUGCGCUGAAAAUAUAACGGGGCUAAGAUAGACACCGAAUUUGUAGAUUGUGUUUGACACAGUGGUAGAAGAGCGUUCAUACCAGCGUUGAAGGUAUACCGGUAAGGAGUGCUGGAGCGGUAUGAAGUGAGCAUGCAGGAAUGAGUAACGAUAAGAUAUAUGAGAAUUGUAUCCGCCGUAAAUCUAAGGUUUCCUACGCGAUGGUCGUCAUCGUAGGGUUAGUCGGGUCCUAAGCCGAGUCCGAAAGGGGUAGGUGAUGGCAAAUUGGUUAAUAUUCCAAUACCGACUUAUGGAGCGUGAUGGGGGGACGCAUAGGGUUAAGCGAGCUAGCUGAUGGAAGCGCUAGUCUAAGGGCGUAGAUUGGAGGGAAGGCAAAUCCACCUCUGUAUUUGAAACCCAAACAGGCUCUUUGAGUCCUUUCAGGACAAAGGGAGAAUCGCUGAUACCGUCGUGCCAAGAAAAGCCUCUAAGCAUAUCCAUAGUCGUCCGUACCGCAAACCGACACAGGUAGAUGAGAUGAGUAUUCUAAGGCGCGUGAAAGAACUCUGGUUAAGGAACUCUGCAAACUAGCACCGUAAGUUCGCGAUAAGGUGUGCCACAGCGAUGUGGUCUCAGCAAAGAGUCCCUCCCGACUGUUUCCAAAAACACAGCACUUUGCCAACUCGUAAGAGGAAGUAUAAGGUGUGACGCCUGCCCGGUGCUCGAAGGUUAAGAGGAUGCGUCAGUCGCAAGAUGAAGCGUUGAAUUGAAGCCCGAGUAAACGGCGGCCGUAACUAUAACGGUCCUAAGGUAGCGAAAUUCCUUGUCGGUUAAAUACCGACCUGCAUGAAUGGCGUAACGAGAUGGGAGCUGUCUCAACCAGAGAUUCAGUGAAAUUGUAGUGGAGGUGAAAAUUCCUCCUACCCGCGGCAAGACGGAAAGACCCCGUGGACCUUUACUACAACUUAGCACUGCUAAUGGGAAUAUCAUGCGCAGGAUAGGUGGGAGGCUUUGAAGUAAGGGCUUUGGCUCUUAUGGAGCCAUCCUUGAGAUACCACCCUUGAUGUUUCUGUUAGCUAACUGGCCUGUGUUAUCCACAGGCAGGACAAUGCUUGGUGGGUAGUUUGACUGGGGCGGUCGCCUCCUAAAAAGUAACGGAGGCUUGCAAAGGUUGGCUCAUUGCGGUUGGAAAUCGCAAGUUGAGUGUAAUGGCACAAGCCAGCCUGACUGUAAGACAUACAAGUCAAGCAGAGACGAAAGUCGGUCAUAGUGAUCCGGUGGUUCUGUGUGGAAGGGCCAUCGCUCAAAGGAUAAAAGGUACCCCGGGGAUAACAGGCUGAUCUCCCCCAAGAGCUCACAUCGACGGGGAGGUUUGGCACCUCGAUGUCGGCUCAUCGCAUCCUGGGGCUGGAGCAGGUCCCAAGGGUAUGGCUGUUCGCCAUUUAAAGCGGUACGCGAGCUGGGUUCAGAACGUCGUGAGACAGUUCGGUCCCUAUCUGCCGUGGGCGUAGGAAAGUUGAGGAGAGCUGUCCCUAGUACGAGAGGACCGGGAUGGACGUGUCACUGGUGCACCAGUUGUUCUGCCAAGAGCAUCGCUGGGUAGCUACACACGGAUGUGAUAACUGCUGAAAGCAUCUAAGCAGGAAGCCAACUCCAAGAUGAACUUUCCCUGAAGCUCGCACAAAGACUAUGUGCUUGAUAGGGUAGAUGUGUAAGCGCAGUAAUGCGUUUAGCUGACUACUACUAAUAGAGCGUUUGGCUUGUUUU
rnacentral:rRNA from 1 species